UUGGGGCUAAUAUUCCGUAGUAGGCUUAUCCAACUGGACAUUUAGUCAUCGGUGCGGCGUCUCGUAUUACCUUAAUUGGAAUCAGAGUCGUCCCACUUGCUGCACAAAUCCCUUCUUUCGUUUUUUUUUUGCUUUUUGCAUUGGUUAAAGAUUGAGUUGAAAUGGGUGUAAACAGAGUGCAAACAGCUGAUUUAGUUAUAAACAAAAUGACUAAAUUGCUAUGCCAGCUGUUUUCCAAUAAGACCAACAACACCCAAUCGGAAAAAUCUAUACUCGCGUGCGUGCGUGUGUGUGUGUGUGUGUGUGUGUGUGCGUGAGUAAGACAGCAACAACAAUGUGAAUAGGUACAAAGUGCAAAAACUGCCAACAACAACAACAAACGCAGCGAAAAUGAAGCGAAAGUGAACGAAAAUUAUAACAACAACAACAACGCAUUUAAUUCUGCUGCGACAACAGCAGCAGCAACAACAAGAACAGCUGCAAGGAUGGGCGGACAUCGACUGCGACUGCGACGUCGGCGUAGGGCAGCGACGCACACACUGAAAGCACUUGCAUUUGAAUAUUCAUAUUUUUUUGGUUAGUUUUGCAACACUUCUUGUUGUUUAUUAUUAUUUAUUUUGCCAUCACUUUCAACACACACACACACACACAAUUGUUAUUGUUUGCUUUAUUGUUUCUGCUGCUUUUCACAUCGAUUUGUUGCACUGUGCAGCUGACGGCGACUGCGACGUUGCGUCGCAUUCUGCAACUGCACUUAACUUACAACUCUUGUUGUUAAUUUGAGCUUCUUUUUUUUUUGCAUUUAAAUUCAAUGAAAUUAUAACGAAAACUGAACGCCACAAAAGAAAUAUGUUGAAUUUUCGUUUUGCAACUAAAAUAAAAAGCAACAAAAAAAAAAAAAAAAUCGGACAAAAGGAACAAAUUUGACGUGAGCGAGAGAGAGCGACAGAGAGAGCGCGUCGACUGCGAGAGCGCUGCGAGCGUGAGAGCGCCGCACACAACGACGGCAGAAGCAGCAGCAGCGACAGCAGCAGCGCGUGCGAUAGAGGGGGAGAGCAUUAAGUAAACGAAGCUCGUGCAUGGCAGAUUUGCGAAAAAAAAAAAGUUUUUUUUUCUUUUUUUGCAAUAAAAAAAAGAAGAGCAGAAAAGUCGAAGCCACUUUAAGCAUGGACUGCCCGUGGCAGUAGCAACAACAAUAAGGGCGCACACACACACACACACACACACGCACAUGCAUGUACAUGCACACACAGAGUCGUCGGCGUUCAGCAACACGGAUCGACACACACACACACACACGCACACAGAGCACAAACGCGUACGCACACACAGUUGCGCUUAAUAGAUUUAUAUUUGUUAACUGUUUAGCACUUGUAUUUGUUGUUUGGUAAAUAAUUCACAUUUUCAGCGCAAA